GGCGACCGCUUUUGGAGUUCGAUUAAGCCAUGCGAGUCGAGAGCUUUCGGAGCUCGGCAUACUGCUCAGUAACACGUGGAUAACCUGCCCUAUUGUCUGGAAUAACCUCGGGAAACUGAGAACAAUGCCGGAUAGCCCACAAUGCCUGGAACGGUUUGUGGGUGAAGAUAGGAUGGGUCUGCGGCGUAUCAGGUCGUAGGGGGUGUAAUGGACCUCCUAGCCAUCGACGCGUACGGGUGUUGGGAGACAUAGCCCGGAGAUGGAUUCUGAGACACGAAUCCAGACCCUACGGGGUGCAGCAGGCGCGAAAACUUCACACUGCAGGAAACUGUGAUGAGGGAACUCCAAGUGCUAUCACUAUGUGGUAGCUUUUCUUAACUAUUAAUCGGUUUUGGAAUAAGGGCUGGGAAAGACCGGUGCCAGCCGCCGCGGUAAUACCGGCAGCUCAAGUGGUCGUCGCUUUUAUUGGGCCUAAAACGUCCGUAGCCUGUUUGGUAAAUCUGUGGGUAAAUCAACCAGCUUAACUGGUUGAAUUCUGCAGAGACUGCCAGACUAGGGACCGGGAGAGGUGUGGGGUACUCUAGGGGUAGGGGUAAAAUCCUGUCAUCCUUAGAGGACCACCAGUUGCGAAGGCGCCACACUGGAACGGAUCCGACGGUCAGGGACGAAGCCUAGGGGCACGAACCGGAUUAGAUACCCGGGUAGUCCUAGGUGUAAACGCUGUGAACUUGGUGUCGGGGAUCCGUAAUGGGUUCUCGGUGCCGGAGUGAAGAUGUUAAGUUCACUGCCUGGGGAGUACGGUCGCAAGGCUGAAACUUAAAGGAAUUGGCGGGGGAGCACUGCAACGGGAGGAGCGUGCGGUUU
rnacentral:rRNA from 1 species